UUAGUGUGUGUUUGGUUUAGCGGUGAAGUGAAUUGAGUUUGAUAGAAUUGAGUUUAAGAGAAUUGAUUUUGGUUAAAAGUAAAUUGAACAAAAUUGGUUUAUGUUUGGAUACAUUUUGUAAAAGUGAUUUUCUCCAAUUUAUAUUGUUUGGAUAGUUUAGAUCAAAAUUGCUUUUGGGGUGGUUAAUUACCAAAAUGGGUUUGUUAAGAAAUACUCCCUCCGUCCAAUAGUAUAAGAAAAAAAGACUAGUUUAGAUCAUAAUUUUUAUUGGUUAUUGAUUAUAAAAAAAAGAAAAGAUAGAGUAAAUUAAAUGCAACUAAUUUUAUGAAAAUAAGUAAAAGUAAAUUUUUUUUUUUGACAAAGUAAAAAUUGAUUUUUUUCUUAUAAUUUAAAACAUGAGAAAAUAUAAUUUUUUUUUUUUUUAUAAUACGGGACGGAAGAAAUAUCUAACAAAUAUUUUUAUUUUUUCUCAUUAAAUUAAUGGGCUUGUUAAGAAAAGAAAAUAAAUGGACUACAAAAGACCAUGGGUGAACGAUUCCCAAU
rnacentral:lncRNA from 1 species